AUGAUGCUGAUGGUUUGGCUGUGGUGUUGUGGAUUUAUGUUCUGCAAAGUUAAAUUUUUCAGAUCUUUUGGAUUUAUUUGACAAUGGCCAUUCCUUGGUUUCUUGGAUUUCUUAUUGUUUUCCAUCUUUCCACUUGAUAUGUAUUUUGAUUGCAUUGAAAUAUAGCUUAUGAUUCCUGUUACUAUUUCUUUUUAUUUCAUGCCGUCUAUAUAAACUUUCUUAUCGUGAAAUAAGCAUUGAUUUCUGAUUGCACGCUAAUCUUUCAUAUAGUAAACAGAGGCUUCAAAUCAACUUGAUGUAUGUAUGGCGUACUACGUUUUUAAUUCCAAAAUGAUAAUGGUUAUUGUGUUUCUUCCAGCUAACAUAGAAUCUCCGCAAAGCUUAGCCUUAUACCCACAUUAGGAGUUGAUUAUGUGAUAGAGUAAGUGAAUAUAAGAAGCCAAGUAUAUUAGUAGCCUAAUUUAUUUGUACUGCUUGAUAAGCUUAGCAUUUCUGCAUAAUUUAUAAACUUAUGCAGAAAUGCUUGUAGGAGAAUAAAAUAAGGAGUAAAAUAAUAAAAAAAUCUUCUCAUAAGUUAAAAUAAACUCAUGCACCUCAUGUUUUGUAGAAGUUAAUUAAAAAAACUUCUAAAAAGGUAAAAAGAGCAUAAGUUUAUUUUAACUUAUAGGAGAAGUUUGAUUCAUUUUACUUUCCUAUUUUUUGUCUCUCAUAAAUACUUACUGAGAAGUUAAUGCAAAUUGGGCCUUGAAAUAUUAUUGAUUGACCUGAAUCUAUUCAAAGUGAAUUUUGAAAAAGGAAUGAUCAUGUCACAUUCAAUUGAUUAAUUACUAGCACGAGUAUGGGUUUAUUGCACUUCAAAGGCCGCAAAAGUGGUGAUAUAUAAUAUAUAAGAGAAUUUGGCUUCUGACUGAGUUCAUUGACAUCGUGUGAUCCAUGUAGCUAACUUUACCUAAUGGGAUAAGACUUGGUUGGUGUUGUGAUUGUAAAGGCACUUACAAAAGGAAUAUGAGAAGCAGGUGGUGACAAUAGGAAGAGAAUGGAUGCUUGUUCCCCUUCUAGUCACUUCUGCAUACCCCCACAUCUACUCCAUAGAUGUGCACCCAUUGUUUUUGUUACUGCUUGAGAUUAAUUAGAAAGAGAAAGAAACAAGUUUGAGCCCACAAUACAAGAAGUGAUGGGUUCCACCAACUUCUUUCUUUCUUUCCUAUGAUUCCUUGGUACAGCUGAGAACCAAAUUUCUAGCAUGUAUAGGCUGUGCACAUGUUCCCCCUCCAUUUCCUAGCACUGUGAUUGUGUUUGGUAAAAUUUGUUUAAGCUAGAUACUUGGGUUUUGGUGAACUAUUUUGCUGCAGUGGACAGGAGACAAGUUUAUAUAUAUAUAUCACCUUGCUGGGUUAUCUUCUGUCUGGAGAAUGCCUGUGGACCCUGCUGGAAUUUAUGUCUAUUUAAUAAUUUUCUGUAUCAUGAUUAUUUGAAAAUGAAAUAUUCUGUUGCUUGAAGUGUGAUUUGUUUUGUUCAUAAUAUUUCCAGUUAUAUAUCUACCUUGCAAACAUGGCCAUGAGACUACUACUGAAAAAUCAGUGACCUUGGGAUAUGGAGGAGGAUCUGAAUGUUACUACCCCUGCACCAUUCUCACUUAUAAAUGAAACCAGGCUUCUCAAAGAUUUUUUCAUUGGGUCACAUUAUGUGUCUGACUUUGGCAUGCACUUGAGACUCAGACUGCAGUCGUGUUGUCACUUGUUAAAGCUAUUGCAAUGAGUAUAAUUUUAUGGUUGCUGUCAUUGUCUGUAUUCCUACAUAGAAAUUCCUCUUCUCUAUGAGAACAUAUAGGUUCUAAACUUGGAGGUCAUUCCAGGAUGAACACUGGGAUUACAAAUUAAAUUUGGUAUUGAAACAGUUAAAUGGUCAUGUCGAAAAUACCUAAUAUCAAACCUGUAGAUUUAAGUUCUACAAAAGAUAUAUUUAUUUCAGCUGUUCGCUUUGCCAUGUCUAUUGAGGGACCAUGUUUUCCAUUUGGAGAUGAGCUACGAAUCUCUGCUCAGGAGCAAGUUGACUACAUGUUGGGAGAAGAUGGCAAUACUACAAUCAUCAUGGCGGAUGAUGAAGUGCAAUCAGUUGUAAGAAUGGGCGUUUACAAUAUCAUUCAUUCAUUUGAAAUGGAUUUAUCCUCCUUUCUUUUGGACACUACCCUUCUUGAGAGUGCAUAUAACAUGAUAAUGAAAAGGGUAUCCGAUCUUGAAUGGUUGUGUAAUGUACUUUCGAAGGUGGAUUUAAUGAAGAAUUUUGUUUCUAAUUGGGCUGCAAUCUCUAGUAAAAUUUUGGGAAUCAUUGAAGACAAGAAGCUUGACCAUGUCAUGUGGGGCUUAAAAGUGAAGCUGAUAGAAGUAGCAUGUAAAGUUUUGGAAGCAGUUGGUUAUGGUAGUGUGAUUGUUCCAGCUCAAUGUCGAGUGCAAUUGCUAAAGACCUGGUUUCCAUAUGUUCGAAAAAUGAAGCCCUUGCUGGAUUCAAAAGCUACUGAGGAGACUGGUUUUCCUUACAAAAUGGAUGAAGAUUUGUGUCAGGCCAUUGAGGGAGCAAUUGUAUCAUUGAUAUUGACAUUGCCAUCAAAUGAUCAAGCAGACAUUUUGGCUGAUUGGAUCAAAAACCGGGAAGUUGGAUAUCCUGACUUGAGCGAGGCUUUUGAGGUCUGGUGUUAUAGAACCAAGUCUGCCAAGAGGAGAUUAGUGGAAGGUUUAGAUGGCCACAGUGAUGGCGAUGCUUCUAUCACCACGAGUUUGGCUCUGAAAUCCUAACCCUUGUCUUUUCUUUCUAAAUAUCAUUUUUGAUAAAUUUAGCUUCAAUAUUGUAAGAUUAAAAGUAUGACACAAGCUGAAUGAGUUAAGGACUCAAUCCCUCCACUUUUGAUGCCUUUCACUGUUUCCAAACAACCCUAUAUGAUGGAAGCUCAAAAUACAAGUAUAUCUAUUACUGGAUUCACUGG